AACGAACGCUGGCGGCAGGCCUAACACAUGCAAGUCGAGCGAGGACUUCGGUCCUAGCGGCGGACGGGCGAGUAACGCGUGGGAACGUGCCCUUUGCUACGGAAUAGCUCCGGGAAACUGGGAGUAAUACCGUAUGUGCCCGAGAGGGGAAAGAUUUAUCGGCAAAGGAUCGGACCGCGUUGGAUUAGGUAGUUGGUGGGGUAAUGGCCUACCAAGCCGACGAUCCAUCGCUGGUUUGAGAGGAUGAUCAGCCACACUGGGACUGAGACACGGCCCAGACUCCUACGGGAGGCAGCAGUGGGGAAUCUUAGACAAUGGGGGAAACCCUGAUCUAGCCAUGCCGCGUUAGCGAUGAAGGCCUUAGGGUUGUAAAGCUCUUUCAGUGGGGAAGAUAAUGACGGUACCCACAGAAGAAGCCCCGGCUAACUCCGUGCCAGCCGCCGCUGUAAGAC
rnacentral:rRNA from 1 species